AACGCAUCUUGCGCUCCUUGGUAUUCCGAGGAGCAUGCCUGUUUGAGUGUCAUUAAAUUCUCAACUCCCCUUUACUUUGUUGUAAAGGAGAGCUUGGACUGUGGAGGCUUGCUGGCCACUUCUCGAGGUCAGCUCCUCUGAAAUGCAUUAGCGGAACCGUUUGCGAUCUGCCACAAGUGUGAUAGACUAUCUACACUAGCGAGGGGAUUGCUCUCUGUCGUUCAGCUUCCAAUCGUCUCAGGACAAUUUCUUGAACGCUUGACCUCAAAUCAGGUAGGACUACCCGCUGAACUUAA
rnacentral:misc_RNA from 1 species